rnacentral:rRNA from 1 species
CUGGCGGCAUGGAUUAGGCAUGCAAGUCGAACGGGAGCAGCAAUGCUCCAGUGGCGCAAGGGUGAGGAACACGUGAACAACCUGCCUUCGAGUUGGGGAUAGCUUACUGGAAACGGGAGAUAAUACCGAAUAACAUCAACCGGUCGCAUGACUGGUUGAUCAAAGCAGCAAUGCGCUUGAAGAGGGGUUCGCGUCCCAUUAGCUAGUUGGUGAGGUAACGGCCCACCAAGGCGAUGAUGGGUAGCUGGUCUGAGAGGACGAUCAGCCACAUUGGGACUGAGAUACUGCCCAGACUCCUACGGGAGGCUGCAGUCGAGAAUUUUGGGCAAUGGACGAAAGUCUGACCCAGCAAUGCCGCGUGCGGGAUGAAGGUCUUCGGAUUGUAAACCGCUGUCAAGAGGGACGAAACAUGACGGUACCUCUGGAGGAAGCCACGGCUAACUACGUGCCAGCAGCCGC